UACGUAGGGGGCAAGCGUUGUCCGGAUUUAUUGGGCGUAAAGAGCGUGUAGGCGGCCUGACAGGUCUGCUGUGAAAACUCGAGGCUCAACCUCGAGAUGUCGGCGGAAACCGUCUGGCUAGAGUCCGGAAGAGGAGAGUGGAAUUCCUGGUGUAGCGGUGAAAUGCGCAGAUAUCAGGAAGAACACCUAUGGCGAAGGCAGCUCUCUGGGACGGCACUGACGCUGAGGAGCGAAAGCGUGGGGAGCGAACAGG
rnacentral:rRNA from 1 species